UAGGGAAUCUUCCACAAUGGACGCAAGUCUGAUGGAGCAACGCCGCGUGAGUGAAGAAGGUUUUCGGACCGUAAAGCUCUGUUGUUGGUGAAGAAGGAUAGAGGUAGUAACUGGCCUUUAUUUGACGGUAAUCAACCAGAAAGUCACGGCUAACUACGUGCCAGCAGCCGCGGUAAUACGUAGGUGGCAAGCGUUGUCCGGAUUUAUUGGGCGUAAAGCGAGCGCAGGCGGAAGAAUAAGUCUGAUGUGAAAGCCCUCGGCUUAACCGAGGAAUUGCAUCGGAAACUGUUUUCUUGAGUGCAGAAGAGGAGAGUAGAACUCCAUGUGUAGCGGUGGAAUGCGUAGAUAUAUGGAAGAAUACCAGUGGCGAAGGCGGCUCUCUGGUCUGCAACUGACGCUGAGGCUCGAAAGCAUGGGUAGCGAACAGGAUUAGAUACCCUGGUAGUCCAUGCCGUAAACGAUGAGUGCUAAGUGUUGGGAGGCUUCCGCCUCUCAGUGCUGCAGCUAACGCAUUAAGCACUCCGCCUGGGGGAGUACGACCG
rnacentral:rRNA from 1 species